rnacentral:rRNA from 1 species
UACGAAGGGGGCUAGCGUUGUUCGGAAUCACUGGGCGUAAAGGGCGCGUAGGCGGUCUUUUAAGUCGGGGGUGAAAUCCUGGAGCUCAACUCCAGAACUGCCUUUGAUACUGGGAGACUUGAGUCCGGGAGAGGUGAGUGGAACUGCGAGUGUAGAGGUGAAAUUCGUAGAUAUUCGCAAGAACACCAGUGGCGAAGGCGGCUCACUGGCCCGGUACUGACGCUGAGGUGCGAAAGCGUGGGGAGCAAACAGG